AUCUUCGGGCCAAACGGAGGCAAGCAGAGGAAGCCGGUGCGAGUCCGGCGCGGUCCCGCCACUGUGACCGGACACCCCGCGCGGGGGUGGCCGGAAGUCAGGAGACUCUGGCCUCCGUUCCGUCGAUCCA
rnacentral:ncRNA from 2 species